CCGAAAACCAUCGCCGCAGCUUCUUAAUCUCUCCUGACGAUGGUUCCGGCGAAAUCCACAUCGGGCACCCAAGGAGCGCCCUCUUCCACCCAUUUCCCUGGUCAGAACCCCCUUGUGAGCUCCCGGGACAUCGCCGGGGUUGCUUGCCAUCUCCACCUUAGUCACCACCCGUUGCCGACCAGUUGAUCGCCGGCAAUCACACCAA
rnacentral:lncRNA from 1 species